UACGUAGGGACCAAGCGUUGUUCGGAUUUACUGGGCGUAAAGGGCGCGUAGGCGGCUUGUCAAGUCACUUGUGAAAUCUCUGGGCUUAACCCAGAACGGCCAAGUGAAACUGACAUGCUAGAGUGCAGAAGGGGCAAUCGGGAAUUCUUGGUGUAGCGGUGAAAUGCGUAGAUAUCAAGAGGGAACACCUGAGGUGAAGACGGGUUGCUGGGCUGACACUGACGUGAUGCGCGAAAGCCAGGGGAGCAAACGGG
rnacentral:rRNA from 1 species